AUGAUGGACUAUAGGACCGGGCUGCUGCUUUUAACUGUCUGCUGGGCAGGUGUUGAUGCUCAGACUCUGACAGAAUCUGAACCAGUGGUUAAAAGGCCUGGAGAAUCCCACAAACUGACCUGUACAGCCUCUGGAUUCACAUUCAGCAGCUACUAUAUGGCCUGGAUCAGACAGGUUCCUGGAAAAGGACUGGAGUGGAUUUCUGCUAUCAAUAGCGGUGGUGGCAGCACUGCCUACUCUCAGUCAGUCCAAGGCCGGUUUACCAUCUCCAGAGACAACAGCAGACAGCAGCUGUAUCUGCAGAUGAACAGUCUGAAGACUGAAGAUUCUGCUGUUUAUUAUUGUGCUCGA